UCAAGACAAAGGUAAACCAUUCGAGAGAAUGGGGCACAAAGCCAUCGGGUCCCAAAACGGACAGCACGUCUGAACCAGGAUCGCCAGGCCGCCUAA
rnacentral:ncRNA from 1 species